GGGUCACUCGAUCAUAGAAGGAGAUCAGGUUGGUCAAGCAGGACCUGCCCUUCACAAACCCAUGCUGGCUGGGCCUGAUCCCCUGGUUGUCCUGCAAAUGCCGCGUGAUCUCCCUCAGGACAAUCUGCUCCAUAACCUUCCCCAGCACCGAGGUCAGGCUGACAGGCCUGUAGUUCCCUGGAUCCUCCUUACGACCCUUCUUGUAGAUGGGAGUCACAUUGGCAAGUCUCCAGUCUUCUGGGACCUCUCCAGUUGACCACGCCAAUAGAUGAUGGAAAGUGGUUUGGCUAUCUCUUCCGCCAGCUCCCUCAGUACUCUCGGGUGUAUCUCAUCUGGCCCCGUGGACUUGUGGCAGUCCAGGUGGAGUAGUAAGUCAAAAGUAGAACAGACUGAACAUAAGAUGGAAAGGAGGAAAUCUUGGCCUGAGAAAAAUCUACAUGAUGAACACCAGCUAAUUUUGGCACCUCCAGUGAGAGAGCUUACCAUUUCCCUCAAGCCAUCAUCUCAAUUAGGGGGGCUUAGCAAAGGCUUAAAGGAUAUUUGAGCUCCCUUCUUCAGGCAGAGCCAAGCUUCAUGGGAAGGAAAGCAUCUCUAAGUAACCCAGGAGAGUCCUGUAUUCAGCUGGCAAGAAGCUCAGAGAUCAGAGAUAUAUUUCAUACUUUGAACGUCUGCAGUUAAUGGGGAGUUCACAUGGGUUCAGUUUGUAAGAAUAGCUUGCAUUUUUCUUUCCUAGUCUGAGAGCUGAUCAAACACCUGUUGGAGUUGUUGCUUCCAGCAGUUGCAAAUUUACACGGAUCUGAAAGGAAGAUGAGCAGCUUACUGACUAUGACAAUCUUGAGUCAAAGCUCAGAAACAGUGCUUCAUUAGCAAUGGUGGGCUUUGGAUCAGACCCACUGUCUACGUACUCAAUUAUAUUGUGUUAUUAAGAGAAAAAUUUCUUCCUGGCCUCCUGAGUAGGUAAAAUUUAAGCCCUGAAGCAUGAGGUUUUAGACUCCCACUUUACUGUAAUUUGCAUAGCUUGCCAGAGCUUGCAUUACGUUUAAUGUUACUGCUUCCCAGGCAUUCCAAUCCAGUUCUUCAAAAC
rnacentral:lncRNA from 1 species